rnacentral:rRNA from 1 species
AAGGAUCAUUAUUAAAGUCACAAGGGGGUCACUAGACAUCCCCGGGGGCGUGAUGGUCCAGUACUCUUAGGGUAAUUCCGAGAGUACCCCAUCCGUCUUAUUUUACACCCCAUGCGUACCUAAACGUUAAGCUGGCUUUGGCGGCUACACCCGUCCGGGGGACCUAAAACUCGAUAUAUCGGUGAUCUCGGAGUGAUACGGAAUAACUAAAACUUUCAACAACGGAUCUCUUGGUUCUGGCAUCGAUGAAGAACGCAGCGAAAUGCGAUAAGUAAUGUGAAUUGCAGAAUUCAGUGAAUCAUCGAAUCUUUGAACGCACAUUGCGCCCUCUGGAAAUUCCGGAGGGCAUACCUGUUCGAGCGUCAUUUAACCCCUCAAGCCAGGCUUGAUGCUGGGCGUCGUCCCUUGGGCGUGCCUCAAAUCCAUUGACGGUCCAGGUGAUUUCCAGCGCAUUAAUCGACCUUUUCGCUUGGAACAUCACUUGACACCAGUCUCUGCAACCCUAAGAUUGACCUCGGAUCAGGUAGGGAUACCCGCUGAACUUAAGCAUAUCAAU